UACAUUUUCCCUAAGUCAAACUUGCAUAAGUUUGACAAACUAUAUAGAAAAUGUGCUAAGAUCUACAACACCAAAUACACGUACGAAAAUACAUUUCAUAAAGAAUCCCAUGAAACUAAUGUGGUGUUCUAGAAGUUAAUAUUUUUCUAUAGAUUUGGUCAAACUUGAACAAAUUUGACUUAGGAAAAACCCAA
rnacentral:pre_miRNA from 1 species